AUGAGAAGAUCCUUAUACAGCACCAAAAAGCAAAGCAUUUUAAAUGCCACAUAUGUCAUAAGAAAUUGUACACAGGACCUGGUUUAGCUAUUCAUUGCAUGCAGGUGCAUAAAGAAACCAUAGAUGCAGUACCAAAUGCAAUACCUGGGAGAACAGACAUAGAAUUGGAAAUAUAUGGCAUGGAAGGUAUUCCAGAAAAGGAUAUGGAUGAAAGACGGCGACUUCUUGAACAGAAAACACAAGAGAGUCAAAAAAAGAAACAACAAGAUGAUUCUGACGAAUAUGAUGAUGACGAAUCUGCAGCCUCGACUUCCUUUCAGCCACAGCCUGUUCAACCUCAGCAAGGUUAUAUCCCACCAAUGGCUCAGCCAGGACUGCCUCCAGUUCCUGGGGCACCAGGAAUGCCUCCAGGCAUACCUCCCUUGAUGCCCGGUGUUCCUCCCCUGAUGCCAGGCAUGCCCCCAGUUAUGCCAGGAAUGCCACCUGGAUUGCAUCAUCAGAGAAAAUACACCCAGUCAUUUUGCGGUGAAAACAUAAUGAUGCCAAUGGGUGGAAUGAUGCCACCUGGACCUGGAAUACCACCUCUGAUGCCGGGUAUGCCACCAGGUAUGCCCCCACCUGUUCCACGUCCUGGAAUUCCUCCAAUGACUCAAGCACAGGCUGUUUCAGCACCAGGUAUUCUCAAUCGACCACCUGCACCGACAGCAGCAGUACCCGCUCCACAGCCUCCAGUUACUAAGCCUCUUUUCCCCAGUGCUGGACAGAUGGGGACACCUGUAACAAGCUCAAGUACAGCUUCAUCCAAUUCAGAAAGUCUGUCUGCAUCUUCUAAAGCUCUGUUUCCUAGCACAGCACAAGCUCAGGCAGCUGUCCAAGGACCUGUUGGUACAGAUUUUAAGCCCUUAAAUAGUACCCCUGCAGCAACGACUACAGAACCCCCGAAGCCUACAUUCCCUGCUUAUACACAGUCUACAGCUUCAACCACUAGUACAACAAACAGUACUGCAGCUAAACCAGCAGCUUCAAUAACAAGUAAGCCUGCUACACUGACAACCACCAGUGCAACCAGUAAGUUGAUCCAUCCAGAUGAGGAUAUAUCACUGGAAGAAAGAAGGGCACAGUUACCUAAAUAUCAGCGAAAUCUUCCUCGACCAGGACAAACUCCGAUUGGUAAUCCACCAGUUGGACCAAUAGGGGGCAUGAUGCCACCACAGCCAGGCAUACCACAGCAGCAAGGAAUGAGGCCUCCAAUGCCACCUCAUG
rnacentral:lncRNA from 1 species